CUGCAAUGAUGACUUCUUAGGACACCUUUGGAUUAAUGAUGAAAAGAAUUGAACAAAUUCUGAGCAGC